AGUGUACGAAGACAAAAGAAGGGUAGGCCUACGUGUGAAAAUGGAAAAGUGACUGAACAUUGUCGACCGUAGUAAAAAAAACCCAACCAACACCCCCCCCCCCCCCCCAUCCCUCCAAAAAACCCCACAUUUCUCGUCCCCAUGUUCUUCCUUUAUUGACUACUGCCUCCUUUUAAAAACGUUUUUGUUAAUCCUGAAAUGAUCAUUCACGUGUGAUUUUCAGCAGCCUGUAAUGAACAUGCAAUGUAAACAAAUGUUAUUUUCUGAUACUAACUUAAAUUUACUGUAAUGUUUAUAAAUUAUCCACACAUCUACACAUGUCACCCAUCUUUAAAGAAAAUAGUAAAUAGUUUUACGGUAAACAGCGUAAAGUCCUCCCACUUCGUUAAAAAAGAACCCAAAACAUUCGGGACAAGAAACUUUAUUUUUUAUUAUAUAAUACUGACGUGUGUUAUUUUAAAAUUUCAGCAGAAUGCAUCUCAGAAGUGAUACUUACAUGUAUAUGUAUAUUUCAUCAACACAUAAAAAGAACAAACAAUUUUUGUCAAUGUGAACUCUGAAUAUGCAGCCUUACCACAAGACCAAGGUGUUGAGCAAGACUCACCAAUGAAUAUCACAAGACAAAAUAAAGGAAUGAACUAUAAGAAAAGUGCAGAAUGCAUCUCAGAAGAGUUUCUAAAUCUGAAACGUAGAAAAAAUGAAAAUGAAGAAGCUUUCCAUCAAGAACUUUUAAUUUUGGAAACAAGAAAAGUGCAGGCUCUUCGACGUAUUGCAG